CAGGUCAUUAAGAUAAAAGUAAAAUAAAUCAACACUAUCUUGCUCCCGAAGGUGAAGGCAUUGACCGAUAAUGGGAUUUGUCAUUGCCACUGGUGUAUUAUUUACGUAAAGAGAUCAGUUAGUGAGGGAUAACAGCAACAAGAAUGGGUCAUUGCGUUUGGCUGAUGAGUUUAUGCAUCAUUCAUAUUUGACAUAAUAAACACAUAGGAUAUAUCCUGGUUGCUUGAAUGUUGAGGGUUUGAAAGGAAUUUACCCAUUAACCUUUGUUUUUCUUUAAAGAACAUAAAAAAUAACAAAAUUGGUAACAUUAGAACAUGACAAAAUAAUAGAUAUUAAGUAUAUACUGGAUAAUAUAUGUUACAAUAAAUGAUACACUCUCAAAGAUACUUCAAGGAAUCUUCUAGAUAAUUUAAGUAAAGUUUUUUUUUUUAAAUCUUUAUUCUGUGCCAGUAUUCCUUACUAUUGUCAAAAUAGAUUCACAGUCUCACUACUUGUUGCCUUGAUGCCUAUUGUCUCGGUCUAAAUAAGGUUGUGGUUUUCUGCAAAAGCACACAUCCUGUAACAUGUUUGCUCUGUUGAAUAGCAUCACCCUAUGAGAACAAAACAUGCAACAGUUGCUGAAGUCUUGUUUAUCACAAUCACAGUAUCGUUAGAGAGACACAGAGAGAAAUUUAUCCUUGGUUAAAGCUUCAAUGCCAUGUCAUCUAACUCGACGACACAAUGUGGGGACUUCUCCAAAUUGGCACUUCAUCUACAGGUGCUAAUCGGGGUUCUGGGCACAAUGCUGAUUAUUUCACUAUGUUGGAAUAUUUUUUGCUGUGUAUCAAAAUGUUGCACAGGAGAACGAAGGAAUAGACGAAGAAGGAGCCCAAGGCAGAUGGAAGAUAAUCCUAUUUAUGGAAACCUAGGCUACAUGCAGACAAGUAUGUCUCAAACUGAUCUGCCACACUCAAGAGUCAAUUACUCACAGUCCAAAACUCAGGACUGCUAUGCAAACCUGACCCUGAAGGCUCCCAGGGUGCAGUCCGGCCGCAGCUCUCCUCAAAUACAGUACUCAGAUGUAGUUCAGUUAGAGGAGCCACCAGAGUCAGAGAAGGAAGAUGAAGGCAACACAGACGGCGUCUCCAUCUUGUCUGAUCUGUAUGCUUCUGUGCAAACUCAGCGUGCCAAAAUCGUCGACACUGCAGACGGUGGAGAAGGCUACGCCAACCAUCUCUGAGAGAAGCAUAACCGCUGAUGCAGAGAUGCUACCAAUGUUCUUUGUGCAACUUGACCUGCCACCACAGGAUGGCACUCUUUGUUGUUUGUUAUUAUGUCAACAAUCUCAACCCUUCUGUGUAGUGAUGUAGAGCAUGUCGUACCACUCAUGCAAACAAAUGUGAACUAUACUCGUUUUACUGGAAUGUGAUUUUUGUUUCACACUGGGGUUAAUUACUGAAAUGACACCCAUGGAUUAUUAAAGAUCCCCUCCGGACAGGUUUUAAAACACAAAAAAUAUUUAAUUUCAAGUUUUAGAUUUUCUUGCUCCAAAACUAGCUUGUACAUACAUUCUGCAAACAUCCAACUGAAGUAACAAUUUUCAGUCUCUCCAGGAAGUUGCAAUGUUGUGAUCGCAACAAUUAACGCAAAUUCAAACAAUCAAUAAGUUUUGCAUGACUUUGCAAUUUCACCGCAACCUUUCUGCAAAUGUAAUUGUAGUUUUCUGCGCAAAAUGUUGAGCCAAAUUAAUUUCCUUGUUUCUAGUUGUGAAGAUGCAGACAUCUGGGACGCAAAUGUCUCACAUUUACGCUCCGAACAGUGCAGUUUUAUUUUCACUCGAACAAGUUCCCAUUGAUUUUUAUUGAAUCAUACAAAAAAAGAAGAAAUUUAGAACUUUGUUUUGCAAAAUUCACUUUGUCCUGCAAUUUUAUUAUGAACAAGUGGCUAAAAACAACAUGUAUCACGAUUUUUUCAGAAAAACUUCACCCCAAAAACCCAGAAAAAGCCUGGUGGGACUGAAUUUUGAGUGGAGGGCAACAUUGAAAUACUUUUCAACUGCCCAUAAUGAACAUCUGAUUCUAUAAAUAUCUUUAAUUAUCUACUGAUCAAGUGAGUUUUGUUGUAAAUGCCAGGUACUUCUCCAUGCUGUAAUCUUUCCUGAGGUUGAAUUAAUGUCACUUAAGCUUGAUAUGUUAAUGUUUAAACCUGUCAAAUCACUGAUCCUUUGAUCAGAUCUGAUCCAAGAAAAAGAGUUCAGAGAGAUCAAAGGUACCUCUAAAUAAAACUGAGCAUAAAAAGUCUAUCUAUUUUUUUCAGUGUAUCAGUGUCAGUUCUGAAAAUGUUCAUUGUGACACAUAAAAAAUGCAGGUACGUUAGUUUAUACAGAGCAUAAGAUGUCAUAUAUCUGUCAUCUAAGCAUGCAGAGGAUCGAGCAAUUGGUCGCAUGUGUGUGUGUGUGUCAGUGAGUGUAUCUGUCUGCAGCAUACUACUGGAUCUAUCAGCCUCAUCUUUGUCGUGCACAUUUAUACUCAAGGACCUCUCUCUGAGAAUUUUUGAAAAAACCUUGAAAAUUUAAUUUUAUUGACUGCUCUGUUUUAUACUGAGUGUUGACUCCUCUUAACUGACCAGAAGGUCAACAUAUAUCAUGAUAACGUUAGUGUUGGCGGAUUCUUUUGUUGGCAUUUUCACUUUGAAAUUGACAUUUUACAUCACUGGUGUGUUUACACACACUGGAGACACAGACCCUGCCCUGUACUUCCUGCUCCUCACCAACAUGCUGCCAGGCAUAACUGGCAGAGAUCUGCACUUUUCUAGUUAUACAUUUAAUUAGGCUUUGGAAGACUCUUGGGUCUGUACUUUGUCUUUUCCAUCACAUAACAUUAUUUAUGAUGGCAGUGUUAACAGAUAAGCGAUAAUCAGUGUUAAAUGAUUAAUGGCCGGUUGCAGUUAACAUUGUCCUCCAAAAGAUUGAUCUAAUUCACAUGGGAAGGGAAUGGUGUUGGAAGCCCAAAAGCUCAAACACUGACAACACUUAAAGGUAAAACAAUCACAAUUAACUACUAAUAACGAAUAAAGAUGGAUAUUCUAUUUAUUAAAUUUUUCUUAAUGAUGAGACUUGCACUGGUGACAUUUUUGUCAGUUAUUGUGAACAUGUAAGCGUGCUGAUGUUGGCAUUUUGCUCAAACCACUGCUGUUCCUAAGUGCAAACCCAGAGAAUCAAUAGAUUUAGUUAUGUGUAGCACCCCUAGAAAUGUUUGAAAUACAGUGAGUGAGUGAAAUGUUUGAGAAAUGAUGGUAAAGAGAGGAACAUUGGUACCAUCAAUAUGAAUAAGAUCUAAAAUAUCUUUGUGGGAAACCACACUAAGUAGUUGAUGUCGCAAUGAUCCAUCCAAUGUUCCCUUAUCAGACAGUCCACCACAUCAUGUAUUAGAGGUCAAAUUUCAAGUCAUGGUCACAAUGGCGUUCUUGAUAAAACUGAUCCAACUAAAUCAGAAAAUGAGCUAUAAUAUUAUAUGUGCUCUAGUUAAUCACAAUGUGCUGUGUGUACGCAUAUCAGCACUCUGUGUGUUAUAAACUUUAUACAGGAUGCAAUUUAUGUGGAACCUGAAUAGAUCUUUGCUUUCCAGUUGUUCAUGAUUUGAUAAGGCACUUUGUUGACCUCAUCAUUUAAUAAAAUACACUGCACUGAAGGAGAAGAUUGUUUAACCUUUAACGACAUGCACUUAAUGCAGCCUAUCACAGUUCUGGCUGGACAAACCAAUACCUGUUAUCUGUUAUUUAUGAUCUGUCAUCUUAAGAACACAAUAAACUCUUUAUGGACUUAACAUGUUUAUAUAAGUAAGGUACAAAUCUUGCUUUAAGCUUUGGAGCUUUUUCAAAUUUUUAUUUUAAAAACAGCUAAAGUGGCCCAAUAGUCUGUAGAUAAACAAAUUAGUAAAUAAAAUGCAAGAACUUACAGUAUAAAUCAGAAAACUUCAAUGAUCCCCAGGAAGGUUGGCAUCACACAGGUGUUUAGAUAAUCAUAUCUCAGAUACAUGAUGUUUUACUCUCUUUGGCUAGCAUCAGCAGGAGAUACGGUAUUAUUAGACCUGGGUAUUACUGUAUGUGGAAUCAAACUGUGGCCCUAACACCAAGUAUUGAAGCGGUCAAAUACCGUCAAGUACUUGUUCAGAUUCUUUAUCCUGCUGGCUUGUUAACUGAUCAGAUGUCAAAACAGAGUCACCUAUAAGUCGUAUAGUGCGAAAGAAACCAGCUCCGGCCACAGGCCAAGACGUGAUAUUGAAAAAAUAUAAAUUACUAUAUCUGGAAUGGUUUUGCAACAUGAUGAUGAGCAGACAUCAUAGGAG
rnacentral:lncRNA from 15 species